AAAAGCAAUUACUUUGGCCACUGAUUACUUCCCAUGCAGAUAGCGAGUACUCCAACUGCAGAGCGCUGGGGAAGACCACAGCUUUAUGUGAUGGACUACAAUAUCUGGAGGAGUUAAUUAAUCUUGUGGGGUAAAAUUUCAUCAGCCACAUUCAGCAGUAAGUGGAGUGACAGCAGUGAACUGAGCUCAAGAGGGACAAGCUACUUCCAUCCAGGGACAAGCCUCAUUUUGCACUGCUGCCUCUUCUCCCUUGGCUGAUCCCACCACCAUCCCUUGUGCUGCCACUCAGGACGUCUACAUGAAGCAGAAGCCUGGAGCAAGCUGCACGAGCACCCACACCCCAGCCUGUGUGGCAGAGCAUCACCAUGCUCAGGUUUGCAGUCAGGCUGCUGUGGUUUUGAGGGACAGACCAGCUAGUUGGAAGAGCCCUUACUUCCAAGGUUUUCAAUACCAUUCCUUACUGGUCCAGGCCUAGAAGACACCAAGGCCUCCUCACGCACAAGAUUCCCGU